GUCUUUCGAGGGUGAUCAGAAUCGAGGAUGAGAUCCUUGACGCUAGUUACUUCCGAGAGCUCUCCAGCGAGUAGCUUCGCGGCCAGUCUUGCUCCCAAGACUUUGCAAUUGGUCGUGGAGUGUCCUCGGGAUUGGUGGAACUCGCAGAAGGUGUUUUCGUCAUACCCUUGAUUGCGAGUCCAUGUGUUGCCCGUUGUCCGGCCUUGAUCCGAAUUGAUCGCAUAGUUAUGUGCCCCUUGGAAAUCUUCCCCCUCAUGAUGGACGUACUUGCCGUUACGAGAGUUCUUCUUUUUCCCUUUCGG
rnacentral:lncRNA from 1 species